rnacentral:piRNA from 1 species
UCCAGCCCUUGCAGGUGGAAACAGCUGUGUC